rnacentral:rRNA from 1 species
GGGAAGAACAAGUGCGUAGGUAACUAUGCGCACCUUGACGGUACCUAAUCAGAAAGCCACGGCUAACUACGUGCCAGCAGCCGCGGUAAUACGUAGGUGGCAAGCGUUAUCCGGAAUUAUUGGGCGUAAAGCGCGCGUAGGCGGUUUUUUAAGUCUGAUGUGAAAGCCCACGGCUCAACCGUGGAGGGUCAUUGGAAACUGGAAAACUUGAGUGCAGAAGAGGAAAGUGGAAUUCCAUGUGUAGCGGUGAAAUGCGCAGAGAUAUGGAGGAACACCAGUGGCGAAGGCGACUUUCUGGUCUGCAACUGACGCUGAUGUGCGAAAGCGUGGGGAUCAAACAGGAUUAGAUACCCUGGUAGUCCACGCCGUAAACGAUGAGUGCUAAGUGUUAGGGGGUUUCCGCCCCUUAGUGCUGCAGCUAACGCAUUAAGCACUCCGCCUGGGGAGUACGGCCGCAAGGCUGAAACUCAAAGGAAUUGACGGGGACCCGCACAAGCGGUGGAGCAUGUGGUUUAAUUCGAAGCAACGCGAAGAACCUUACCAAAUCUUGACAUCCUUUGACCGCUCUAGAGAUAGAGUCUUCCCCUUCGGGGGACAAAGUGACAGGUGGUGCAUGGUUGUCGUCAGCUCGUGUCGUGAGAUGUUGGGUUAAGUCCCGCAACGAGCGCAACCCUUAAGCUUAGUUGCCAGCAUUAAGUUGGGCACUCUAAGUUGACUGCCGGUGACAAACCGGAGGAAGGUGGGGAUGACGUCAAAUCAUCAUGCCCCUUAUGAUUUGGGCUACACACGUGCUACAAUGGACAGUACAAAGGGCAGCGAAACCGCGAGGUCAAGCAAAUCCCAUAAAGCUGUUCUCAGUUCGGAUUGUAGUCUGCAACUCGACUACAUGAAGCUGGAAUCGCUAGUAAUCGUAGAUCAGCAUGCUACGGUGAAUACGUUCCCGGGUCUUGUACACACCGCCCGUCACACCACGAGAGUUCGUAACACCCGAAGCCGGUGGAGUAACCUUUUAGGAGCU